CCUCUCAUUUAGUGAAAUAUACAAGUAUUUAUUUAAUUAUUAAAAUGGCAUUGCUAAUUUCAUUCGAAUAAAACUGAAUUUAUGUGAAUUCAUCAUUAUGUUUAAUGUACAGUUCCAAUACUCACAAGGUAAAUGGAUGUUUUGCUGCCCUUUUAAGUCUAGCAAAGCGGUUCCUUCAGUUUCAGACUUAAAUGCAGAAUUGGACAGAAUUUCUGCACACUGUGCGCCUUUUUCAGGUGGUAAUGACUGUGUCUUAAAUCAUAACACUCCUCACGUCCACAAAGCCUCGCGCAGAUGGAUGAUAUAAAUAGUCGCCGAGCAUGUUCUUGCUCCUGAUGCAAUGCUCUGACCGCUGCCUUCCCAUCGGCCAGGCUGUGGCAAGGAGAUCGGAGAAUAAGAGGCUCGCCAUACUUUUAAGCAAAUAACUUUAAAUCGAGCUGUUUCACGUCUUUAAGCAGUUUUUGUCGACCGAAAAAUAGAGAUGGAUAUGGAGAGGAGUGAUAGAAAUGUCGAUAACACAAGUAAUAUACAUUACUAAUCACGGUAGUGUUUGAAAAUCGAUAACAGUCGCAAUAUACAUCCAACUCGGUUGGCAAACGAAGCGAUGAGUAUUCAUUCAGACUAAUCGGUAGCAAUUACAGGAGCAGCAACGUUGCAUCUAAAAGGACCAAUAAGGAAUCUUUAGAUUAGGCAAGAGUCAAAAUGGAAACUAUCAAUUUGUAGCCGCAACUUAAUUAGCUGAUUGCUUACUGACUGCCAAAAAACAAAGCGUCAACUCCCCCAUUCAAUGAAUUAUUCAAUAGAAGAGUAAACGAAUGGUCAAGAGCAAAAUAAAAAAAAGGAAUA